rnacentral:rRNA from 1 species
AGGAUUAACGCUGGCGGCGUGCAUGAAACAUGCAAGUCGAGCGCGGUGUGAUGCGGGGUAACCCAAUUCACAUCUAGCGGCGAACGGGUGAGUAACACGUGAGCAACCUACCUUUGAGUUGGGGAUAGCCCUGGGAAACCAGGAUUAAUACCCGAUGUGGUCACAACAGGACAUCCUGAUGUGAGUAAAGGCGUAAGCCGCUCAAUGACGGGCUCGCGGCCUAUUAGCUUGUUGGUGGGGUAACGGCCUACCAAGGCGAUGAUGGGUAGCUGGUCUGAGAGGACGAUCAGCCACACUGGGACUGAGACACGGCCCAGACUCCUACGGGAGGCAGCAGUUAGGAAUUUUCCGCAAUGGGCGAAAGCCUGACGGAGCAACGCCGCGUGAGUGAUGAAGACCUUCGGGUGUAAAGCUCUGUCGGAGGGAAGAACACAAUGACGGUACCUCCAAGAAAGCCCGGCUAACUACGUGCCAGCAGCCGC